UACGUAGGGUGCAAGCGUUAAUCGGAAUUACUGGGCGUAAAGCGUGCGCAGGCGGUUGUGCAAGACCGAUGUGAAAUCCCCGGGCUUAACCUGGGAAUGGCAUUGGUGACUGCACGGCUAGAGUGUGUCAGAGGGGGUAGAAUUCCACGUGUAGCAGUGAAAUGCGUAGAGAUGAUGGAGGAAUACCGAUGGCGAAGGCAGCCCCCUGGGAUAAUAUGACGCUCAUGCAACGAAAGCGUGGGGAGCAAACAGG
rnacentral:rRNA from 1 species